rnacentral:rRNA from 1 species
GACGAACGCUGGCGGCGUGCUUAACACAUGCAAGUCGAACGGAAAGGCCCUGCUUUUGUGGGGUGCUCGAGUGGCGAACGGGUGAGUAACACGUGAGUAACCUGCCCUUGACUUUGGGAUAACUUCAGGAAACUGGGGCUAAUACCGGCUAGGAGCUCCUGCUGCAUGGUGGGGGUUGGAAAGUUUCGGCGGUUGGGGAUGGACUCGCGGCUUAUCAGCUUGUUGGUGGGGGAGUGGCUUACCAAGGCUUUGACGGGUAGCCGGCCUGAGAGGGUGACCGGCCACAUUGGGACUGAGGUACGGCCCAGACUCCUACGGGGGGCAGCAGUGGGAAAUAUUGCACAAUGGGCGGAAGCCUGAUGCAGCAACGCCGCGUGCGGGAUGACGGCCUUCGGGUUGUAAACCGCUUUCGCCUGUGACGAAGCGUGAGUGACGGUAAUGGGUAAAGAAGCACCGGCUAACUACGUG